UAAGCAAUGAGGAAAUCAUUAUUUGGUUGCUGUAUGGUGGAAAGUUAUUAAAAGAUCCAGAUGGCAAAGUAUAUUAUGAUGGUGGCUUCUGUAAGCCUAAGCAAAUCACAUAUAUGACAAUAUUUGCACAGAGUUGCAUUCAUUUGCAAAGGAAGUAAGUGGCAUAGCCGACAAUUUGAUAUUUGAGCCGAGAUAUUUUGCUAGCGAUAAAGAUCAAGUUAGAGAGAGAUGAUGUUUUAGCAACAAUGAUGACAUGCAACUCUAAAUGUUCCUUUAUCAAUGUGUACAUGGUCACUGAAGAACCCAUAUGAAUUUGUCUUCAGGUUCAACUUCUCAUAUGAAUUUGUCUUCAGGGUUAAUAAUUUGAAUAAUUUGACUUUUGUAUAGAGUCAAAGUGAUUCUUCUCAAUCUAGAAUGUUGGAUAUAUGGAAGAAUGAAAUAAAUGGCUUGGGGAAAAUCUUUGGCAACAAUAAAGAAUUUCAAAAAAUGCUCUUAUUAUAUCUGCAAUUGCUCAGGGUUUUGAUUACAAGCUCCUUAAAAAUGACAGCAUUCAGUUUCGAGGUAAUUGAAAGCUGAUAUUUGUAAACAGUUGACAUGAGCCUCCAAGGUUGCAAAAUCAGAUCAAUUUAUAGUUAGAAUCUGUGAUGGAGAUUAUGCUUGUGGGUUAUCUAUGGUUUUAUGUAGCCGUCUGAAGGCAUCACAAAAGUUCCUUGCAAAGCUGGUACAAUAUAAGUUGAAAGUCCCCACUAUAAAGCUGGGGGGAUUAUCGAAGAUUUAAAAACUUAUGGUGUGAAGGCGAAGAACAAAAAGGCAGAUUGAGCAAAGAAGACUGCAAAGGUUGAAUUGUUCGAAUGAAAUCAGGAGUCUUAUCAGAAGCUUCUUGUAUAUGCUAAGAUAGUUCUGCUGACAAACACGGAGUGUUUUAAAAGUUUCGAUCACUGAAGAAGGCAGACAUUGGUGCAAGGGUUUGGAUAUGGGUGCAGGCUUAUAUUAGAUGGGACAUCACUAAAAGCUUAUUACGAGAAAAUCAUGCUUACCACUGUAGCUCCUCUGGAUGCUGUGAAUGGCCUGUUGCCUAUUGCAUUGGCUAUUGUUGACUUGGAGAAUGAUGCUAAGUGCCAUUGGUUUCUUAGCAAAUUACAGGAUGCGAUUGAUGAUAAUCACGAAAUCACUUUUAUCACUGAUAGAACAACAAGUCUUACUACCAAUAUUCUUAUUGUUUUCCCAAAUAGCCAUCAUUUCUACUGUGUUAGACAUAUAUAACAAAACAUUUUUCGCCUCUUGAAGGGUUAUUGUAAGGCUUGCCAAAAGGCAAUCAAAACGCAUUUAUGGGUGAUGGCUAAUGCAUGUACUGAAAAGGAAAUUUUGGAUACAAAAAAGAACUUA